CCCAAAUGUCCCAGACAGAACAGUGGAAAUCAACCCAAAUGUCCCAGACAGAAGAGUGGAAAUCAACCCAAAUGUCCCAGACAGAACAGUGGAAAUCAACCCAAAUGUCCCAGACAGAACAGUGGAAAUCAACCCAAAUGUCCCAGACAGAAGAGUGGAAAUCAACCCAAAUGUCCCAGACAGAACAGUGGAAAUCAACCCAAAUGUCCCAGACAGAACAGUGGAAAUCAACCCAAAUGUCCCAGACAGAAAAGUGGAAAUCGUGUAUAUUACGAUUAAAUAUGAUGAAUAUUGUUUUAAUCUCUAAAAUGAUUAUGCACUUUAUUCAUUUUAAAUAUUCCCAGUACACAGUCAAUUCAGAAAGUUAAUUUAAAUGUCAUUUCAACUUAAAGGAUGAUAGAGAGAGAUAGAAAAAUAGAGGGAGGGGUCUGACUGGAUGGGUCCUUAAAAAGGAGAGGAGAGAGAGGAAGAACUCAACUCACAGGCAGGACAGAGAGAGAGAGAGAGACUAGAACUCAACUCACAGGCAGGACAGAGAGAGAGAGACACUAGAAGUCAACUCACAGGCUGGACAGACAGAGAGAGAGAGAGAGAAACAGAGAGAGAGAGAGACUAGAAGUCAACUCACAGGCAGGACAGACAGAGAGAGAGAGAGACUAGAAGUCAACUCACAGGCUGGACAGAGAGAGAGAGACUAGAAGUCAACUCACAGGCAGGACAGACAGAGAGAGAGAAAGACUAGAAGUCAACUCACAGGCAGGACAGAGAGAGAGAGAGAGACUAGAAGUCAACUUACAGGCAGGACAGAGAGAGAGAAAAUAGUGAAAAACCUUUGAAGAUCUCUGAAGAAGUGAAGC
ensembl:lncRNA